rnacentral:rRNA from 1 species
UACGUAGGGGGCUAGCGUUGUCCGGAAUCAUUGGGCGUAAAGAGCGUGUAGGCGGCCCGGUAAGUCCGCUGUGAAAGUCGGGGGUUCAACCCUCGAAUGCCGGUGGAUACUGUCGGGCUAGAGUGCGGAAGAGGCGAGUGGAAUUCCUGGUGUAGCGGUGAAAUGCGCAGAUAUCAGGAGGAACACCAAUGGCGAAGGCAGCACUCUGGGACGUGACUGACGCUGAGACGCGAAAGCGUGGGGAGCAAACAGG